ensembl:lncRNA
AUUGGAUUUGCGUGGGUGCGUGCGGCAUAGGAUUGUUGUACUGUAUCAGUAUGUUGAAGCUGGAGCAGAAAGCGAGAGUAGCAUGAAAAUGAAAAUGUUCCUUUUGUUUUAUUUUAACUCUCCAGAACCUUCACAAAGGGACUCGCUUCCGGAUGUUACCAUGGCAACCUGGCAGGGGCUGCCAAAGGGAGUGAAGCGGAAGGAGAGGCUGGAGCACUGUGAGGGAGGGAGAAGCCAAGCAGCUGCUCAAGCAUGGAGAGGGGUAAGGGCAGUGUGGUGUGUGUCUGUGACUGACAAGGGGAGCAGGGAUGGAAGAGAGAGAGAGAUAGUAAUCAAGUCGACUCGCGCUGGUCGACUAACAUACAGUAGCAGUGCGUGUGUAAAACAGUGGGGAAGCCAAGACAGAAUCAAAUCCAUAUUAACAACCUUUGUAUUUGCGCUAUAACCUGUUAGUUCAUACUGUUUGCUGGGGGUCUCGAGUGGUGCAGUGGUCUAAGGCACAGCAUCUCAGUUCUUGAGGCAUCACUACUCCACUACUACACUCGGGUUCGAAUCCAGGCUGUAACACAACUGGCCGUGAUUUGCACAACUGGCCCAGCGUCGUCCGGGUUUGGCCUGUGUAGGCCGUCAUUGUAAAUAAGAAUUUGUUCUUAACUGACUUGCCUAGUUAAAUAAAAGUAUGCCUUGCCACCGUGAUAUAUUUUGGGCUCUCGAGCGGGGCAGCGGUCUAAGGCGCUGCAUCUCAGUGCAAGAGGUGUUGCGUCACUACCUGCAGUACCUGGUUAGAAUCCAGGCUAUAUCACAUCCGGCCGUGAUUGGGAGUCCUAUAGGGAGGCGCACAAUUGGCCCAGCGUCGUCCGGCUUUGGCCGGGGUAGGCCAUCAUUGUAAAUAAGAAUUUCUUCUUAACUGACUUGCCUAGUAAAAUAAAGGUUGUUUCAUCACAAAACUGGAGACCAACGUCUGUCCGGUGAAGUCCAUAAAGCAUAUUGCAUUUAACAAACAGUUACAUGACCUACAGCAGGAUCAAGCAAGUUAAUGUUUCCAACAUUUUCGGACUACUAAACAACUAAUGAUUUAGAACCACGGAGAGUUAACGCAAGUUGGAGGCGUUGCCUCCACUAUUCCAUCACCAUUUCAACUUAACAUUUCAACAUCAUCAAAUCAUCUAUGCUUAGUCUAAUACAGUGACAACUAAAAUAUACCAAAAACAAUUUAGUCCAAUCAAAGUAAGCUAAUAUGAUGUGGCUGUCCAUGGUACUGAUUUGUGUGUGUGUGUGUGCGCGCAAGUAGAAAAACAUGUUGACUCACUAACCCUACUUGUAGAGAAACGCCAAUGCCAUUCUCCUCUCUUUCAUGUUGACGAAACAGUCUAUGACUUUGUCAUACAGUACACGAUUUUAGUUUUUGUUGUCCUAGGCUACCUGGCUAAAAUGCUUGCUUGCUCGCCUAACUUCCUUUUAUGACGCAAUGAUACGCCAGGACAGCUAAUUAACAUUAGCCUACUACAACUAACUACAUAUUGAACUUCCAUCCUGCCAGGGACACAAUGUAUGAAUUAAUUGUUGGAUCUGAAUUAUUGUCAUAAUCAUUGGCCAGUACAGAGAUUUAAUAAAAAUUCAUUGAAAGUCCACAUUCCCAUCUCCAUCCAUGGCUAAUUUAGGAAAGGGACAAUUUUAGCUAGCUAGCCACCGGAGGACAAUGACACAACGAGAUGAAACAUUUAACGUUUUUUCUGUAAAUUCAGUUUUGCUUUUGAUGUGAUUGUUGUGAAGGGAAAUUGUUGUUGUUUUGCUCCAGGACCAUUCACAGCUUACUCAGUUUAGCUCAACGCUGAUUGGCUAUAAUUUUUUUAUGAAGGGAGACCAAAUCGUCUCUGGCUCCCGAUGCAUUCAAUGCUACCGGCGGCAACAAUGUCAUACUCUUUUUGAGCAGACAACAUCAGAUAGAUGGGCUAUACAUACUGAGACAGAGGGGCGCUGUUUCACACGCUGGGAUGCUUCGUCUAGUGAGAUACAUUUAGCCUCUUAUGAAUAAUUAAAAAAAAAUGAAACACAGAGGCGAAAGAUGCAAUAUGUUAUUUUCUUAUUUGCUUGGUAAAUUUUUGGGGAAGCCUGACUUCCCUUGGCAUCGAUGAAUACACAACACUGCUAACCUAUUGCUAGAUAUUUAUCAUCUCAUCUAAUUACACAUAGUACCUGUCUAGACAGCAUCAAACCGAGAGAAGCUAGUUAAGCUAUCUAGCUAGUGUUAGCUAGGCUAAUUGAGACUACAGAACUUUAACUGUGUGCUUUCUCCUCUUCCUACAGUAAAUAACAACAACUCCAUUCAGAUUAUUAUAAGUAGCAGCUUGCUUGUUGGCUCUUGGUGUUGUAACCUGUCCUUUUUAAAUUGAACUUUUAGUUUUGUAAUUUUAAUUCCAUUUUCCAUUGAUUAGCCUAGAUAUCUCCUAAUAACUUGCCACAGAGUCUCUAGCUCCUAUGACUGUAGCCUAGUGCGUUUUGAUGUCUUGUGAUUGGAUGACAACAAGAAGUUACACGCGCCACUCACGUGGAAAGCAAGAGCAGCGGCAGCAUAAAUGAUCAAAUGUUCAUUCUCUCUCUGCAGGAAGUGUGAUGUAGACCAUCUGUGUUGUGAAUUCAUGUGGAAUUUUAUACAUUUUUCUUAUCGUUUUAACAGAAAAACUAUAAAAUUGUCCGUUAAGAAAAAUUAUCCAUUUGUCACCUCCCUUCUUCUGAGUCAUCUGCCCCAGAGGAACGGUGUGUGUGUGUGUUCACAACCGCGGAGUGUUGAGAAUGCAGAGUGCUUAUGCCCUCCCCAUGGGGAACUGUAAUGAUUUCUGUGGGCGUUCGGAAUAAAACUGUCCAGACCAAAUAUAAAUAACAACCAUUAAAACACAUCCAGCUGAGGAGGGAUUUUAUUAGAGAUACCAACAAUAUACAGCAUUUAUGCAACUUAUUGGAUUCCUCUCUGGCUGAUAUAUGGUGACACACUAGCCUCGGUAUAACUACAGUCUAGUGUGUUUGGCAUCAAAACAAGCUUUAUGGGAGGAAAAUCAACUUUAGGUGUAACAAUGUUUUUCUCAUUUAUUUUUUAUUUCGUUUUACAACUUCCAUAAACUAGUUUUCCCCGGGCAGUAGGGCUGUGGUGGCAUGCCAGGGUUACAUGAGGAAUGGUCAUAGCAGUGGAGUAUGAAGGUUUGGAAUUUGAGAACAUUAGUUGCCAUUGCUUAGAUCUAUGGAUAUCACAUGCCUGAGCAGGGCUGCAGCCAUGAGUGGGCAUUGGAGGGCAUAGGCCCACCCACUUGGCAACCAAGCCCAUCCACUGGGGAGCCAGGCCCAGCCAAUCAGAAUUAGUUUUUCCCCACAAAAUUACUUUAUUACAGAUAGAAAUACUCCUCCCCCCAGACGAUCCCGAAGGUGAAGAAGCCGGAUGUGGAGGUCCUGGGCUGGCAUGGUGACACGUGGUCUGCAGUUGUGAGGCCGGUGGGACGUACUGACAAAUUCUAUAAAACGACAUUGGAGUCAGCUUACGGUAGAGAAAUUAACAUUUAAUUCUCUGGCAACAGCUCUGGUGGAUAUUCCUGCAGUCAGCAUUCCAAUUGCACGCUCCAACAAAACUUGAGACGUGUUGCACUGUGUUGUGUGACAAAACUGCACAUUUUAAACUGGCCUUUUAUUGUGCCCAGUACAAGGUGCACUUGUGUAAUGAUCAUGCUGUUUAAUCAGCUUUUUGAUAUGCCACACCUGUCAGGUGGAUGUAAACAAAUUUGUGCACAAAAUGUGAGAGAAAUACUCUUUUUAUGCGUGUAUAAUAUUUCUGGGAUUUUAUUUCAGCUCAUGAAACAUGGGACAAACACUUUACAUGUUGCAUAUAUAUUUUUGUUCAGUGUAUAUGUAUGCCUCCAGACAAGCAGUCAGUAUUUGUAGUUGUUGAAUUCUAUUUUAAUCGCAAAUCAAGUAAUAUGACAAAUAAGCGAGGGGUGUUCUGUUAAAGGCCCAGUGAUGUCAAAACAUGCUGUGUUUUAUAUAUAUUUCCACACUGAGGUUUUAAUAAUAUUGGAAAAUUGUGAAAAUUAUGAUAAUGCCCUUUUAGUGUAAAAGCUGUUUGAAAUUACUACUCUGACAGUCUUACCAAAAUUCUUGCUUAAAAAGCUAUUUUGUUUCUUCUUCACAAUUUUAAUUGAAAACAAUCACAGUAAGGUACUUAAUUGUUACCCAAAAAACGAUUUGAUAGAGAUCAAAACAUCUGCAUAUGGACCUUUAACCCUCUCAUCUUGACCUCGGACCUAUAGGCUUUAAAGUGGCUCAUAUGUGCCACACAUAUUGUCCCCAGCUGUGUCAAGGUGCAGCAAUAUUUAUCCAUAAACACUGUAAUACAGACACAUUUGGUGGCUUUGAUGCCAUAAAGGAAGAAAUUCUCAAAGCUAUGGCAUGUAACGACAAAUUCUGUGGCGAAACAGAUCCCAGAGGGAUCCCCCUUUUCACGCACGCACACACGCACACACACACACGCACACACAUAUACAGACAGACAGACAGACAAACAUACCCAAACACACACCUUUGUUUCCGACGCCCCUCUUUCAUGUCAGAUGACCUGUCCCAACUCUCAACGUUGUGUGAUGGACCUGUGUUCGACGUCAUCACAACAUUAAGGUUUACAUGGCAGAACCAGGGGAUUCAUUUAGAAGCUGUCACACAGGAAUUAGUUUGAAAGGGGGAAACAUGAUUCGCCAAAGCUUCCUCCAUCGAGCGUCAUGUGAAGGGGUUAGAGGGGGUGUCCCCGUGUUGUGUUAGAUGUUGUGUGCUGAGCUGCACGUGUGACAGCCUAAGACUUGAUCACACACAAAAGCAUGUUCCCACUCGCUGCUCUCUGACAGAAAGAUCCACCUUCAAAAGUCCAUAAUGGAGAUUUUUUGUUGUUGAUCUUUUUGAAUAGAAGAAGAGGAUUGUUAAUUCCUCUUACAGUAUUGGUUAAGAUGACAGUAUGUCUGAAAAGGCUUUGAGCGCAUGCAUAAUCCACAGAGGUGCGGAACACCAGAGGAUAUACCCUGGGUUCGCUUUGGUUUGACGUGAGUCACCGCAAAUGACUGACAUAUACUGUACCUGUGAACAUAUUUUUAACCUGAUGAUUAUAUCUGGUACUAUCCCUAAGGUUUGGUAGGCGGCCCAUGUACUCCCCCCUUCACCAAGGUGGUGACCCUUGUGACCUAAAUAAUUAUCGGCCUAUUUUUAAACUUUCUUGCCUAGCUAUUGUAGAAUCCUUUAUUUAUUCUCAGCUAAGAUCUUUCUUAUCUUUGAAAUGUAUUCUAAAUGUUGGGUUUUAGACCAGGUUAUAGCACUGUCUCUGCUGUGUCCCUAGUUAUAAAUGAUGUGCUUAACUGUAAGGAUAAAAGGCGUCAUUGUGCUGCUCUCUUCAUAGACCUGUCAAAUGCUUUCAAUACUGUUGACCACUCAUUGCAAAUUCAGAGGCUUUACUCAAUUGGCCUAGAACAGGCUGCAUGUAACUGGUUUUAAAAUUACAUGACAGAUGGAAUUCAAUGUUUAUCUACUGAUGGUGUUAAAUCAGGUUUCCUGGAUAUUACGAAAGGUGUCCCGCAGGGGUCGAUUCUCUGUCCUUUUCUUUAAGUUUUACUGCUUACAUGUCUGGAAAGAAUUGUAACCUGGACUUGAAUGCCAAUGAUACUGUUGUGUAUGCUAUUUCCCCCAUGGUUGACCAGGCUCUGUCUGAACUACAGUCUGCCUUCAUUGUAUUACAGAAAAACUGUAUUAAACUGAAAUUAGUAUUGAAUGCAGGUAAAACUAUGUAUAUGUUCUCUAGAGUGCAUAAAAAUGUGAUUUAAGCACAUGUACUUUGGAUGGUGUCCAUAUUGAUUGUGUCCCUGCUUAUAAAAAUAUCUGGAUAGAUGAAAAGCUGAGAAUGCAAAUGGGCUUCUAUAAAAAAAAAAAAUAGGUCCUGCCUCUCGCUAAAUAGUAGAAAGUACAUUAUUCAGUCUAUGUUCUGAUCGGUCCUAGACUGAAUGCAGCUGCCACUUCAUUAAAGCCGUUUGAUGCAGUUUGUCAUAGUGCGCUGCGCUUUAUUACGGGCAACAAUUUUAGUACUCAUCACCUCAUUCUCUACCAGAAAGUUGGUUGGCCCUCUUUGAUGUCAAGCAAGUUACUACUUUUUUUUGCACCUUAUUUGUGGAAUCAGCUCCUGGAAUUAAAUGAGUUCUUUUGGUGCCUCUAGGCCAAUUCAGAAAGCUGAUUGAAGACCUUUUUACGGAUGAAUGUGUUUUUUUAUUUUUUAUGACUGUGUUUCUAUUUUGUAUUUAUGUAUUUUCUGUAAUGUAUGUAAUUCAGGGCUCCUCUGUAAAAGAGACCUUGGUCUCAGUAUGUCUCCCUGAUAAAAUAAAGGUUCAAUGAAUUAAUUAAUUUAAAAAAUGCCCCAGCCUCUUUAUCCUCCAUCCUCACACUUUUUCUCCUGCACACUCUGUUUUUCCUGUCCUUCUCUCUCUCUCCCUCCAUCAUCCUCCGUCCCCCUGUUCUCCACCUGUGAGGUGUCCAGGCUCUAAGACUUUCUAAUCCUCUGAAGCCUCA